GUAGGGCUCGCGGCGCUGGAAGUCCGCCAGCACCUCGCGGCUGGGCUGGGACUGGCGGAAGGCUGGCAGGCCCUGCUUGCAGCGCUUGAGGCAGUGCGCGCGGCGCAGCAGGCCCCCGAAGAGGCGCAGCUCGGGAUAGCUGGCGAGGCCGGCGGCGGGCUCGGGCUGCGGCGCGGCGCUGCAGUUGCGGUGGCAGAAGGCCUCGCUGUCGCGCAGCAAGCGGUGCAGCCGCAGGCUGAUCUCCAGGUAGCCCACGCUCUCGGCCCAGUGCUCGCCGCUGUACUUGUCCAGCGCGUGCCGGUAGGCCGACUCGAGCGGCAUCAGCUCGUCCCGUGGGAAGCUGCGGAAGCUGUAGCGUUCGUAUUGGGCGCGCCCGGCGCGCAGCGCGCAGGCCACGCACAGCAGCGCUAGCAGCGCCGCGGCCCCCCGGCGCCCCGGCUCCAUCGCGCCCGGCGAAAGGAAGGAAGGAAGGGACGAAGGAAGGGAAAAGGGGAGGGAGAAGGAAAGGAAAGAGGACGGUGCGACGCGGCGGGCCCAGUGCUUUCGGGGCGGGGACGCCAGCCUCCGGCCCGCCCCGUCCGGCCGCCCCUCCCCACCCAGCCGGGGGAUCUGGGCGCCAGCUGCCAGCACCUAGAGGGUGCCCGGGAAAGGCGCGCUGCGCACUGGUUCACGCAGGCUGAUGCGCAUGAUGGGACUCUGCCGCUCAUUCACUUGGAGACCCGCCUGCAAGGCCGACGCGGCCCUAAUAGAUUAUAUACAUCGGCCCUACGGUCUAUAUAAUCUACGAUCUUUAUAUUCGUUUGGAGGUUUGUGAAAACGAAGAUUCCUGGGCUGUGCCCCCAGAGUUUCUGAUUCAGAAAGUCUGGGGUGGAGGUCUGACGAUUUGUGUGUUUAACCAGCACCCUGAUGAGGCUAAUGCUGCGGGCCCAAGGGCCGCACUUUUAAUAGCACUGCCCAACCUUAAAUUUUAGUGAGAGAAAAAGACAGUGCAAAAAUAAAAUUAAUAAGGAUGUCAGCACUUUGUAAACUGUAUAGCUAGUCAGGUUGAAGAUGUGCACACCUUAUGAAUCUGCAACACCAUUCGGUGGAAUAUGCUGGAGAAGCUUGCGCGUGUGCAUCAAAAAAUAUGGAUGGAAUGUUAAUGGCAGCACUUUUAAAAAAUCUUUAAACUUUUAAAUCUUGAAAUAAUUUACAAGAAAGCUGCAAAAACAGUACAAAAAGUUCCUAUAUACCCUUCAUCAAGAUUCACAAGUUGCUAACGUUAUACCACAUUUCUAUCUUUACAUUUUUUUCUGACUCAUUUGAGAUAGGUUGCAUGUAUCAGGCCCACUGUCCGUUAGUCUUUUUUUUUUCUUUUUUUUUUUCCUUUUUUUUUUUUUGAGACGGAGUCUCGCCCUGUCACCCAGGCUGGAGUGCAGUGGCGCGAUCUCGGCUCACUGCAACCUCCGCCUCCCGGGUUCAAGCAAUUCUCCCUGCCUUAGCCUCCCGAGUAGCUGGGAUCAUAGGCACACACCACCAUACCUGGCUAAUUUUUCUAUUUUUUACUAGAGAUGAGGUUUUGCCAUGUUGGCCAGGCUGUUCUUGAACUCCUGACCUUAGGUGAUCUACCUGCCUCUGCCUCCCAAAGUGCUGGGAUUACAGGCGUGAGCCACCGUGCCCAACCCCUUAGUCUUUCAGUAUGUAUGUCCUAAGAAUGAAACUACCAGACAAUCAAAUUUAGGAAAUUUAAUACUGAUAGAAGACUUUAAUCAUGUUCCAUUUCCGGUUAUGUCAGCUGUUCCAAUUAUGUCUUUCAUGGCACUUUUUUCUCUUAGGAUGCAGUCCAUCCGUGAUCACUGUUACAUCUAGUCUAUUUCAUAUCCUUUAAACUGGUUCCUCGGCUUUUCUUGUCAUGCCGUUGUCAUUUUUGAAAAAUAUAGGCCAAAACAGCAAUGAGAUACCACUACAAAAUCCAAAACACUGACAACGUCACAUGCUGACAAGGAUGUGGAGCAACAGGAACUCUCAUUCAUUGAUAGUGGCAAUGCAAAAUGGUACAUACAGUUUAGAAGACAGUUGGGCCGUUUCUUACAAAACUAGGCAUACUCUACUCAUACAAUCCAGAAAUUGCACUUCUUGGUAUUUACCCAAAUGGGUUAAAACUUAUGCACACACCUGCGAAUGGAUGUUUGUAGCAACUUUAUUCACAAUUACCAUAACUUGGAAUCAACCAAGAUGUCCUUCAGUGGGUAAGUGGAUACAUAAACUGUGGUAUAUACACACAAUGGAAUUUUAUUCCAAGCCAAAAAGAAAUGAGCUAUCAAGCCAUGAAAAGACAUGGAGAAGUCUUAAAUGCAUAUUACUGGUUGAAAGAAGCCAAACUGAAAAGGCUACAUACUGUGUGAUUCCAGCCAAAUGACAUUCUGGAAAAGGCAAAACUAUGGAGACAGUAAAAGGAUCAGUGGUUGCUGAGAAUUAUGGAAAGGGAGGAAUGAAUGGGUAGAGGACAGGAUUAUUGGAGCAGUGAAACUAUUCUAUAUGAUAGUAUAAUGGUGGAUAUAUGCUAUACAUUUGUUAAAAUCCAUAAUAUGUACAACACUAAGAGUGAGCCCUAAUGUAAACCGGACUUUGGGUGAUAACGAUGUGUUGAUGUAGGUUCAUUGAUUGUAACAAAUGUACCAUUCUAGUGCAAGACAUUGACAGUGGGGGAGCUUGCGCAUGUUGUAGGGUCAUGGAGUAUAUUUGAACUCUGUAGUUUCCGCUCAGUUUCGCUAUGAAUCUAAAACCACUCUAAAAAAUAAAGUCUUUUUUUUGUUUUUUGUUUUGUUUUGAGAUGGAGUCUCGCUCUGCUGCAGAGGCUGGAGUGCAAUGGCAUGAUCUCAGCUCACUGCAAUCUCCACCUCCAGGGUUCAAGCGAUUCUCCUGCCUCAGCCUCCUGAGUAGCUAAGAUUACAGGCCCGUGCCACCAUGCCAGGCUAAUGUUUGUAUUUUUAGUAGAGACUGGUUUCACCGUAUUGGUCAGUCUGGUCUCAAACUCCUGACCUCAUGAUCCACCUGCCUCGGCCUCCUAAAGUGCUGGGAUUACAGGCAUGAGCCACCGCGCCUGGCCUUUUUUUUUUUUUUUUUUUAAAGAACACAGGCCAGUUAACUUUAUAAAAAGUUCCUCAUUUGAGGUUUUCCUGAUGUUUCCUCAUGACUAAAUUCAGAUUAAGCUCAUGACUAAAUUCAGAUUAAGCUCAUGACUAAAUUCAGAUUAAGCUCUUUGGCUAGAAUGCCACAGAAGCAAUGUGCCAUCCGUCUCAGGUGUAAAAUCUAAAUAACACAAUGCCCACCCCUUGUCUGUGUUAAUUUUGAUCACUUUAUUAAGGUGAUGUCUGUUUUCCCUACUUCAUUUGUUUUCUUUUGUAAUUAACAAGUGUCUACAGUAAGGUAACGCAACAUUGUUCUUAAUGGCAGAAAGCAGGAAUAACCUGUCCAUAAACAGAAGAGUAGAUUUAAAAAAAAAUGAGAGUAAAUGCAUAUAGAAGAAUAUAUUAUAGCAGGGAAAAUGAAAGAAUUAGAGCUACAAAUAACAGUUCAAUCUGGGGGCGGGGGGGAACCAUUGAGAAUGAUUCCAUUUGCCUAAAGUUUUUUUGUUUGUUUGUUUUUUGUUUUUUGUUUUUUUUUUUUUGAGACAGAGUCUCGCUCUGUCGCCCAGGCUGGAGUGCAGUGGCGCCAUCUUGGCUCACUGCAACCUCUACCGCCCGGGUUCAAGCGAUUCUCCUGCCUCAGCUUCCC
rnacentral:lncRNA from 1 species